AACGAACGCUGGCGGCAGGCCUAACACAUGCAAGUCGAACGCUGUAGCAAUACAGAGUGGCAGACGGGUGAGUAACGCGUGGGAACCUUCCCAGUGGUGCGGAAUAGCUCAGGGAAACUUGAGGUAAUACCGCAUAAGCCCCUAGGGGGAAAGAUUUAUCGCCAUUGGAUGGGCCCGCGUCGGAUUAGCUAGUUGGUGAGGUAAUGGCUCACCAAGGCAACGAUCCGUAGCUGGUUUGAGAGAAUGACCAGCCACACUGGGACUGAGACACGGCCCAGACUCCUACGGGAGGCAGCAGU
rnacentral:rRNA from 1 species